rnacentral:rRNA from 1 species
AUGGCAAUGGCCGCCUCCGAUCAGCAACUACAGCAGGCCCGCAGCACCCGGCACGGCUUUGAGGAUGAGUCCCGGUGGGUGGAGCUGAUCCGGGAAUCCCUCCGGGAGGUUUCCGGGGAGGAGGACGACGACGGCAUCCCCGUGUCCGUGUUCGACGUGCCCAAGCAGCUGCUGGUGCACAAGCCCGAGGCCUACGCGCCGCAGUUCAUCGCGCUGGGCCCCUACCACCACUGGCACCCUCACCUGUACGACAUGGAGCGCUACAAGAUCGAAGCCGCCCGCCGCGCGCUCCGUGCGGCCGGCCGCAGCCUGGACGACCUCGUGCGCGAGCUCCGGCACCUCGAGGGCAAGGUCCGCGCUCACUACCACCGCUACCUCGACUUCCGCGACGGGACGCUCUCGCUCAUGAUGCUCGUGGACGGCGCUUUCCUGCUAGAGUUCCUCACCAUCCACCACCACCACGCCGCCGCCGCCGAGCCCGAGAGGCUCGCCGUCUCUAACUGGACGUCGAGGAUGGCACACCUCAUCGACCUGGGCGGGACCGGGCGGAAGUCCGCUCACAGCCUCAUCCUCCGUGACAUGCUCAUGCUCGAGAACCAGAUUCCGCUCUUCCUCCUCCGCGAGAUCCUCCAGGCGCAGUGCCACUCCCAGUCCGUCGACGAGUCCACCGCGCGGCUCACCUGCAUGGUGACGGGCCUCAUGAAGGAGCUCUGUCCGUUCAAGAUGGAGGGCAACUUCCCGGAGAAGCAGAUCGAGAGGGACAUCGCCAAGCACGCGCACCUGCUCGAGCUGCUGUACCACCUGCUCGUGCCCAGGCCCAAGCCCUCUGCGUCUGAGAACUCCGCCCCGGCGUGGUCUGGCCCCGUCGAGGAUGAUAUCGAGGAGCAGCGACCGGACGGCGAUGGCGGCCAAGAACAAGAAGGCGAAGGCCCUCCCGCCGGCACCGGCAACGAGUACGUGAUGCAACUGCUCGCCGUCAUUUUGAGCAUGGCGUCGAGGCUCAAGGGCGGCCGCCUGGGCCACGUGAUCGAGUUUGCGGCCAAGGCGCCGUGGAAGAUGCUCGCCGGCAUACCCGGCAUCUCAGGCUUGUCCAUGCACGCGGACGCAGACAUGAGCCAGGAGAUCGCGAUCCCAUCGGUGACCGAACUGGCCAGCAGCGGCGUUCGGUUUAAGCCGACCAACGGCAACCUGUCCACCAUCACCUUCAACCGCAAGACGGCGACGCUGCACCUCCCGGCGGUGACCCUCGACUGCAACACGGAGGUGGUGCUCCGGAACCUGGUCGCCUACGAGUCAUCCGCCGCGUCGGGCCCGCUGGUGUUCACCCGAUACACGGAGCUGAUGAACGGCAUCAUCGACACCGACGACGACGUCACGCAUCUCCGCAAGCGCGGCGUGGUGAUCAACCGCAUGAAGAAGAGCGACGGCGAGGCCGCCAAGCUGUGGAACGGCAUGAGCCGCUCAGUGCAGCACUCCAAGGUGCCGGACCUGGACGCGGUCAUCGACGACGUGAACCGCUACUACGGCCGGCGGUGGAGCGUCAAGGCGAAGCGGUUCAUGCGCAAGUACGUGCUCAGCUCAUGGAAGAUGCUCACCUUCCUCGCCACCAUCAGCAUGCUGCUGCUCACCACCUUGCAGGCCUUCUGCUCCGUCUACACGUGCUCUCGGUGGUUCACUGACGUCGUAGUCACGGUCACGCCGACGCCGGCAGAGUAG